rnacentral:ncRNA from 1 species
UAUAAUCUUCGGGGCAGGGUGCAAUUCCCGACCGGCGGUAAUGCGGCAGGUGCCGUUAGCCCGCGAGCGAAAGCAGACAUCGGUGAGAUUCCGAGGCCGACAGUAAAGUCUGGAUGGAAGAAGAUUGAU